UCCUAUGUUUGUCGAGGAAAGAUUAGUAUAGACAGUGAACCAGUCAUAGGAGACUCAGGGCCAGGAAAUGGACACUUUCGCUACUUGUAGUCAGAAGUACUACAGAGUAGUUGGCCGGUUCUCGAAUUCAGGACGAACCAGGUUGGUCACAGAUUUGUUUUAUAUUAGCCGGCAGUGUGCAGGUUUCGAGCAUGUGGUCGGGAAGCGUACAGGGGAGGCACAUGGCCCGGCUUGGCGCAUUUCUCUUUAGUUUUAUCAAAAGGAAGGUUUUGGUCCCUUAUCGGAUUUUGAAGUAAUUUGGUUAUUUAUUUCCUCACUAAUUUAUUUGUUUUCUAUUCGCUCAUUCACAAAAUUUCGAGAGACCCGUAACCCUGGGGCGCACGUCUCUCAUACUUGUUUUCACUUCGUGAUUGUUAUUUUCCAAAUUGGACUCCGAUUGUAAGCCCAAAUCUUUUAGCUCACUUUAAAAUUCCGCUUGCGAAAA